rnacentral:rRNA from 1 species
AUGGUGCAAUUGUCACAUGGGCCCGAUGUAUUCCGAUGGAACCUCCAUGGGAAUGGACAAUUCUCAGUGGAGUCCAUGUAUAGAGUGUUAAUCCAGUCUAAUGUGUUAGUUGAUAAUAACAAGAAGAUCUGGAAGAUGUAGAUACCUCUCAAGAAUAAAAUCUUUACAUGGUAUCUUCGUCACGGAGUCAUUCUUACUAAAGAUAACCUUAUUAAGAGAAAUUGGCAUGGAAGUCCGCAAUGUGUCUUUUUUCACCAUGAUGAGACAGUAAAACAUGUAUUCUUCUAAUGCAAAUUGGCCCGUUCUAUAUGA